rnacentral:rRNA from 1 species
CCUACGGGUGGCUGCAGUGAGGAAUAUUGGUCAAUGGGCUUACGCCUGAACCAGCCAAGUCGCGUGAGGGAAGACUGCCCUAUGGGUUGUAAACCUCUUUUGUCAGGGAGCAACGCCGACCACGUGUACCCGGGCUGAGAGUACCUGAAGAAAAAGCAUCGGCUAACUCCGUGCCAGCAGCCGCGGUAAUACGGAGGAUGCGAGCGUUAUCCGGAUUUAUUGGGUUUAAAGGGUGCGUAGGCGGACUGUAAAGCCGGCGGUAAAAUAUCGGGGCUCAACCCCGCCGCGCCGUUGAAACUGGCGGUCUUGAGUGGGCGAGAAGUAUGCGGAAUGCGUGGUGUAGCGGUGAAAUGCAUAGAUAUCACGCAGAACGCCGAUUGCGAAGGCAGCAUACCGGCGCCCAACUGACGCUGAAGCACGAAAGCGUGGGGAUCGAACAGGAUUAGAUACCCUUGUAGUC